UACGGAGGAUCCAAGCGUUAUCCGGAUUUAUUGGGUUUAAAGGGUGCGUAGGCGGAUUAGUAAGUUAGAGGUGAAAGCUCGGGGCUCAACUCCGGAACUGCCUCUGAUACUGCUGAUCUAGAGAGUAGAUGCGGUAGGCGGAAUGUAUGGUGUAGCGGUGAAAUGCUUAGAGAUCAUACAGAACACCGAUUGCGAAGGCAGCUUACCAAACUAUAUCUGACGUUGAGGCACGAAAGCGUGGGGAGCAAACAGGAUUAGAUA
rnacentral:rRNA from 1 species